GACGAACGCUGGCGGCGUGCUUAACACAUGCAAGUCGAACGAUGAAGCCCAGCUUGCUGGGUGGAUUAGUGGCGAACGGGUGAGUAACACGUGAGUAACCUGCCCUUAACUCUGGGAUAAGCCUGGGAAACUGGGUCUAAUACCGGAUAGGAGCGUCCACCGCAUGGUGGGUGUUGGAAAGAUUUAUCGGUUUUGGAUGGACUCGCGGCCUAUCAGCUUGUUGGUGAGGUAAUGGCUCACCAAGGCGACGACGGGAAGCCGGCCUGAGAGGGUGACCGGCCACACUGGGACUGAGACACGGCCCAGACUCCUACGGGAGGCAGCAGUGGGGAAUAUUGCACAAUGGGCUCAAGCCUGAUGCAGCGACGCCGCGUGAGGGAUGACGGCCUUCGGGUUGUAAACCUCUUUCAGUAGGGAAGAAGCGAAAGUGACGGUACCUGCAGAAGAAGCACCGGCUAACUACGUG
rnacentral:rRNA from 1 species